UACGAAGGGUGCAAGCGUUAAUCGGAAUUACUGGGCGUAAAGCGUGCGUAGACGGUUAUUUAAGUCGGAUGUGAAAGCCCCGGGCUCAACCUGGGAAUUGCAUUCGAGACUGAAUAGCUAGGGUACGGUAGAGGGAAGCGGAAUUUCCGGUGUAGCGGUGAAAUGCGUAGAUAUCGGAAGGAACAUCAGUGGCGAAAGCGGCUUCCUGGACCAGUACCGACGUUCAGGCACGAAAGCGUGGGGAGCAAACAGG
rnacentral:rRNA from 1 species